GUCUCAAGAUUAAGCCCUGCAUGUCUAAGAUAAGCAAUUUAUACAGUGAAACUGCGAAUGGCUCAUUAAAUCAGUUAUCGUUUAUUUGAUAGUACCUUACUACUUGGAUAACCGUGGUAAUUCUAGAGCUAAUACAUGCUUACAAUCCCGACUGUUUGGAAGGGAUGUAUUUAUUAGAUAAAAAAUCAAUGUCUUCGGACUCUUUGAUGAUUCAUAAUAACUUUUCGAAUCGCAUGGCCUUGUGCUGGCGAUGGUUCAUUCAAAUUUCUGCCCUAUCAACUUUCGAUGGUAGGAUAGUGGCCUACCAUGGUUUCAACGGGUAACGGGGAAUAAGGGUUCGAUUCCGGAGAGGGAGCCUGAGAAACGGCUACCACAUCCAAGGAAGGCAGCAGGCGCGCAAAUUACCCAAUCCCGACACGGGGAGGUAGUGACAAUAAAUAACGAUACAGGGCCCUUUCGGGUCUUGUAAUUGGAAUGAGUACAAUGUAAAUACCUUAACGAGGAACAAUUGGAGGGCAAGUCUGGUGCCAGCAGCCGCGGUAAUUCCAGCUCCAAAAGCGUAUAUUAAAGUUGUUGCAGUUAAAAAGCUCGUAGUUGAACCUUGGGCUUGGUUGGCCGGUCCAUCUUUCUGAUGCGUACUGGACCCAACCGAGCCUUUCCUUCUGGCUAGCCUUUUGGCGAACCAGGACUUUUACUUUGAAAAAAUUAGAGUGUUCAAAGCAGGCCUUUGCUCGAAUAUAUUAGCAUGGAAUAAUAGAAUAGGACGUUAUGGUUCUAUUUUGUUGGUUUCUAGGACCAUCGUAAUGAUUAAUAGGGACGGUCGGGGGUAUCAGUAUUCAGUUGUCAGAGGUGAAAUUCUUGGAUUUACUGAAGACUAACUACUGCGAAAGCAUUUACCAAGGACGUUUUCAUUAAUCAAGAACGAAAGUUAGGGGAUCGAAGAUGAUCAGAUACCGUCGUAGUCUUAACCAUAAACUAUGCCGACUAGGGAUCGGUUGUUGUUCUUUUAUUGACGCAAU
rnacentral:rRNA from 1 species